ACAUAAUUGACUUGUAAUGCAUUUGAUUGUAUUUUUGGUUCUGUUUAUUAUCUUCUUAUUGGUUCUCAGAUCAUCGAAGUAUUGCGGAUGGAAAUUGAAGUAUGAAGAAGAUUGAGCGACCAAGUUGAGGUAGGUUGUUGUGAUCAAAUCCUAAGCGACGGGGCGAGGUGAGGCGAAGCCGACCCAUACCAAAUAAAAAUCCUAAGCGUCAGAGCGAGGCGAAGCCGGGCUGCACCAAAUCAAAAAUCCAAAGCAUUCACGAGGUGUGGCGAAACGAUUUUUGAAUCCGCCCGGUGCGUAGCACGGACAUAAAAUCUAUUACAACAGUAUUACAUUAUUAUUCUAAAGAGUAAAGAUGGGUCAUUGCUUUUUUUAA